GACAGAGGUGCCGAGCGUUAGGCGGAAUCACUGGGCUUAAAGCGUGUGUAGGCGGGCCGUUAAGUAUCUUGUGAAAUCCCCCGGCUCAACCGGGGAAUGGCUGGAUAUACUGGCGGUCUUGAGCGAUCUAGGGGCAGAUGGAACAAGUGGUGGAGCGGUGAAAUGCGUAGAUAUCACUUGGAACGUCAAAGGUGAAAACAGUCUGCUGGGGAUCUGCUGACGCUGAGACACGAAAGCCAGGGGAGCGAACGGG
rnacentral:rRNA from 1 species